UACGGGGGGGCAAGCGUUGUUCGGAAUUACUGGGCGUAAAGGGUGCGUAGGCGGCGCGGUAAGUCGGGUGUGAAAUCUUGGAGCUUAACUCCGAAACUGCAUUCGAUACUGCCGUGCUUGAGGACUGGAGAGGAGACUGGAAUUUACGGUGUAGCGGUGAAAUGCGUAGAUAUCGUAAGGAAGACCAGUGGCGAAGGCGGGUCUCUGGACAGUUCCUGACGCUGAGGCACGAAGGCCAGGGGAGCAAACGGG
rnacentral:rRNA from 1 species